CCUACGGGCGGCAGCAGUGGGGAAUAUUGCGCAAUGGGCGAAAGCCUGACGCAGCGACGCCGCGUGAGGGAUGAAGGUCUUCGGAUCGUAAACCUCUUUCAGCAGGGAAGAACGGUCACUGUGCUAAUCAGCAGUGAAUUGACGGUACCUGCAAAGUAAGCACCGGCUAACUCCGUGCCAGCAGCCGCGGUAAUACGGAGGGUGCGAGCGUUAAUCGGAAUUACUGGGCGUAAAGCGGUCGUAGGCGGUAUGUCAAGUCAAGGGUGAAAUCCCCGCGCUGAACGUGGGAACUGCCUUUGAAACUGGCAGACUGGAGUGUGUGUGAGGAUAGUGGAAUUCAAGGUGUAGGAGUGAAAUCCGUAGAUAGUUGGAGGAACAUCAGUGGCGAAGGCGACUAUCUGGCACAUAACUGACGCUGAGGCUCGAAAGUGUGGGUAUCAAACAGGAUUAGAUACCCUGGUAGUC
rnacentral:rRNA from 1 species